AAGUCGUAACAAGGUUUCCGUAGGUGAACCUGCGGAAGGAUCAUUAACACGUUUCGUUCCGAACGUUUUCGAUCAUUCUAUAUUUUCCGUGCACAAAACCAUGCGUCCGGCCUCCCGAACCGCUUACUGGGUUUACUCAGUGUAGCCUGUUUGGGCGUCAAUGGGGGAUUCAAGGAGCUAAGCUAUGAUUGGUAACGAUUUAGCUGACGCACCUCCUCUGCUGACGUUGCCACAACCCAAACCCUUUAAUCUAACUGAUCUGAACUUUAGUUGGCAUUCACUUGCUAACGAUAUACAAAACAAACAACAACUCUUAACAACGGAUAUCUUGGUUCUC
rnacentral:misc_RNA from 1 species